CGGCUUUGUGUGGGAGAACCCUCCCCGCCUUCCUCCAGUCCUGCCUUCCCAGGACCAUCCAGCGCUCCGUACUGUUCUCAGCCUCUGGGGGGCACCAGAGCUUGCACAUAGCAAGGUGGAUGCUUCUUGAGACAAAAGAGGAGGAUUUUGGCUGCCAAUUUGUCUUAACAUUGUGUAAGGUCUGUCUUGAGGCAGAGGAGGCCAUAUACCGACCUGGAUCAGGGUGUGCGUUGUUCUGGCUGUUCUGAUAUGACUGGGCUGGGGGCUGAUGGUGGUCCACGCCCCGAAGUGAUGGAGAGCCAAAUUCUGGUGGCUUUUGCGUCUGACAGGCCAGCCCAUGGGGGCCAGUGGCUGGGAGAAGAGAUCCUUGGAGUCAGACCUUACAGGACAGGAGGCUUCCUUCGCCUCUGCCCCAUGCCGCCUGGAGCCGUGUUCAUCGGAGAAACAAAAGAGGCCAGAGAAACAAGGAGUCUGGAGUCAGAAAGUUCUUGCUGUCCACUGAAUGUCCGAGGACCUCAUUAUCUACUGCUAAUCUGACCUGCUCUGGAGAAGCUAACAGCAGUGGCCCACAGGCUGGACUGAUGCCGAGACUGUCGUCACAGUGAUCAGAAUAGCCACCUGCUCCCGCCACCCAGAACUCAGGUGAUGGCUGAGACUGCUUGCUUCAGCAUCUGUGGAUUUGGGGAAGCAGUUAAAAGCUUGCUAGGAAGAAUCUGUCUGAGGGAGGAAAAUGCAAUGUUCUUACUCUCCUCUUCAUCAAAGCGUUCACGUUCAUUAAAAAUGAAACCCAAC
rnacentral:lncRNA from 1 species